rnacentral:rRNA from 1 species
GACGAACGCUGGCGGCGUGCCUAAUACAUGCAAGUAGAACGCAGUUGCGAACGGGUGAGUAACGCGUAGGUAACUGCCUGGUAGCGGGGGAUAAAUAUUGGAAACGAUAGCUAAUACCGCAUACUACCAGAUGGACCUGGGUUGUAUUAGCAAGGUGGUUGGGUGACGGCUAACCAAGGCAACGAUACAUAGCCGGCAUGAGAGGGUGGUCGGCCACAAUGGGACUGAGACACGGCCCAGACUCCUACGGGAGGCAGCAGUAGGGAAUCUUCGGCAAUGGGGGGAACCCUGACCGAGCAACGCCGCGUGAUUGAAGAAGGUUUUCGGAUCGUAAAGCUCUGUUGUUAAGGAAGCGGUACUUAACCAGAAAGGGACGGCUAACUACGUGCCAGCCGCCGCGGUAAUAC